UGAGGGGCCUGAAAUGAGCCUU
rnacentral:miRNA from 1 species